CAUUUCAUGGGCUUUUUCCGGUUCCUUUUUUUGAAGCCUUAGCCUGUAGCGCCACCAUGCGUUGUCUUUACUUCGAAACCAAUUGCUACAAUUGAUCUAUUCUCUAUUCUAUCAGGAGUUUGGAAAUUGGGAGGAAAUGAUGUAAUCACAAUAUCACGCAAUGAAUCUCGGUCUUGAAUGCUGAAAAGAGCUACAAUGGUCCCGGGAGAAUUUUCACGGAUGGGGCUUGUGAAUGAAACCAUGGUCAGUUCUGGAGAGUUAUCGUUGAUAUCUACCACCUGUAUUAUGACAGUCCAUUUUCCAGAAAGACCUGCCCCAUCAGAGGCUUUAAUAUCCACCUGAUAUGACACAAUUUUUUCAAAAUCUAAUUUUCUGAUUAUUUUAAUUUCUCCCCUUCGUUCAUUAAGUGCAAAUGUCUUAGAAAUCUCUUCGUCACCAUAAAAAAAUGAGUAGAAUAUUUCACCAUUAA
rnacentral:antisense_RNA from 1 species